CAUAUAGAGAACUUUAAUUGAAGAUUAUAAAAGUUAUGAAGGAAUCAAUUAUCAGACGAAUGACAUGUAUAAAGCACUUUCAAUACAUGCUCAGCAGAUAGCUCAGAAAUAUAUACUAUUUACCUUAAGAGGUAAACUUGGUAGAUCAGUACCAGUCCUAUUAACUGAAGAAUUAAGAAAUUGCAUUGAUAUGAUCCUAAGGUAUAGAAAAGCUGCGAGAGUUUCUUCAAAAAACCCAUAUUUAUUUGGUCUUCCAUCUAUUGCAAAAAAUAAAUACAAAUAUCUUUUGGCUUGUGAUUUAUUGCGACAAUAUGCGUUAGAAUGUGGUGCAGAAAAACCAGAGACCUUACGUGCAACUGAGUUACAUAAACAUAUAGCGACAAUAUGUAUCAAUUAUAACUUAUCAGAAAAUGAGAUCUCAGCAUUUGCGAACUUUAUGGGUUACAGUGACAAAAUACAUUUAAGUCACUACAGACAACUUGUUAUUGAGAAAGAAAUAUUGGAAGUAUCACAAUAUUUGGAAGCAGCACAAGGGAACAGCGAAGACAAUGAUAGUGACUAUUCGGAUUCUACGAUCUUUGAUAAUGAAAACACAAACCAAAAGACAUACAGCGAUGAGUUUAAUAUAACUACAUCUAGACAACUAGUUCAAGGUUCUAGUACAUGGGAAACAUCUUACGAUAAUAGUGACUGCAACAAUAAUAUAGAAAAUGACAAAAAUUUGGAAAAUUUUAAUAAAUAAUUGGCAAAAAACGAAAUAAAAAUAAGAAAAAUGAUGGGCAUUGUUCUAGUACAUUUGAAACAUUUAACGAUGAUAUUGACUUGAGCAAUAAUACAGAGAAUGACAUAGAAAAUGAUACAGAUUUGGAAUAUUUUAAUGAACAAUUGUCUCGUAAAAAACAAAAAAGAAAUAAGAAGAAAAAUAAACCCUUGAUAAAUCGAAAUCGAUGGACGGAAGAAGAAAAACGUCUCGUUCUCGAUGCUUUUAGGCAUUAUUUGAAAAGACAUAACAAAAAAUUACCUUUCAAUGAAAUUGGAAAUUUUUUACAAAGACAUCCUGAUUUAUUAGCUCAAAGUGCAGCAACGAAGUGCAGCAAGUGUUAAAACAAGGAUACAUAACCAAAAACGUGGAAUAAAAAAAAUAUAACUUCAUAAAAUAAGUUUUGUAAGAAAUUGAAAAGAAAAAGCGCAAGUUACAACUACAACUUUAAAAAAUGAUGCAAUAAUCAUUAAGGCUUCUAGCCCCUAAAUCGAGAACUCCGCGUUGAUUGCUUCCGAAUGAUGCUAUCACUCUUCAAUAUAGCUGCAGCAAGAGGUUAGAAGCUUCAAUGUUCAUAAAAAUUAUUAAAUAAACAAUUAUUCUUAUUUCUUAUUAUUUGAUUGUAUUUCAACGUGCAAUUGUAUUUGAUUGUUUUUUGAUUAUAUAAUUCUAGCACUAAAUAAUUGUGAAAAAAAUAUAUAAUAUAUAC